GAAUAUGAGUGAUUCCGGUUGGUGUAGGCCGCGAUUAGGGGUUUGCUGAAGGUGUUGACGGUGAGGUCAUGAUUUCAGGUGGCGGUGGAAUCGAUUGUGGAGAUGGAAGAAGGCGAAGGGUUUGAAUCACGGUGAGAGAGGGUUUGGUGGUGGCGAUUCACGGUGAGGUAAGCGAUUUACACGGAGGUUGAGCGGAGAUGGGAGGACGCGUUAGGUUGUGUUGCGAUGAAGAUGAUGAAGGGUUUGAGGGUUACCGUUGGUGGUGGCGAAAGGGAUUUUGACGGUGGAUUCCGUGGUUGUGUUGGUGGAAGAGGAGGAUGGAGGGUUUUGUGAGGGAGAAAGAGAGUGAGGGAUUUUGAGAGAGGCGGAGGGUUUUGUAAGGGUUUCUGUGAAGUGGAGUGUGAGCGAGAGAGGAGAGGGAAAGGUGAAGUGUGUCAUUUGUGGGUGAGUGAUUUGUGAGGAUCCGCAAUCCGAGAGAGUGAAGGGUCGGUGAAAUAGUGAGGUGUCCAUCUGAGUGGAAUUCUGUUUUGAGUGGAUUGUGGGUAGGCACGUGGAGCGUGUGAGGAUUAUACCAGCAGCUUAUGAGUGAAUUUUUUUGUUUUUAGUGGAUUGGGGGAUCCAAUGUAAGAAAUAUACAUUUUCCAUAAUUGUUAUUUAAAUAAUAAAUCAUAAAAACCUUAGUUAAUAUUUAAUUUAAACUAAUUAAUAUUUAAUUUACACUAACUAAUAUUUAAUUUUAAACACAUUCUAAUUUAUUUUAAUUAAAUAUCAAAAAAAAUAUUGACCCAUUAAAAAUAGAAAUCGAGUACGAAUUUAUUCGAAAAAUUGAACCGGUCACACUAAAAUUGUCAGCACAAAACCCUACUUAAAAAAAAUGCAGUCUUUCUUCAAAUCUUUAACGAUUCAACCGAUUUUCUGUAUUCUCAAAAUAAAUUCAUUCUGACUGACAUAUCAGGCAUUAUUCAUGAUGCAAUGUAUAUAAUGUCAUGCAUGUGAUGCUAAAUUAAAAAUUAAAUUAAUUCUAUGAAAGUUUAAAUAUGCCCGGACAAAAUUGGGGUAUGACACAACCCAGGCAUAUCUUGAUACGACCAGGCGAAUAUCUCCACAUACUCAGCAUCUCAAUCAACCUUCUCUUGACAUCUUCCUUCAAAGCAGCCCCGAUCUUAAUAUCUCUUCUGGCAUCCUCAGUACCGAGAUUAAUAAUCUCCAACUCCUCCUGAUGAGGUUGGAUGACCCUUUCCUCCUGCUUCAAUAAUCUGACCAGUUCCUUAGGGAGUUCACAAUCUUCCUCACUCUCCUCUUCAGCUUGGUAGAUGGGAUUAUUUAAAUCAUACCGAGCCAUAACAGAACUGUUCAUAGUGGAGUCCGUAAGAUCGAUUCUGCAUGUUUAAUGCUUUAUUUUAGAAAAAGAGUUCAAGAAAGUCACAAAAACAAAAACAUUGCCAUUUUUAUUGUUUUUUUUUAAAAAUGAAAAUAAAAACAGAAAGACAGGGAUCACAAAAUUGUUUGCAAAACGUCCUUUAUUAAUGAUAUCAUUGAAAAAACAUGAUGAGGCCCUACAAUGAACCACCACGCCUUGGGCAGAACGUAGGGUUUUGUGCAAAAUGAAAAACAAAAGAAAAUUACUCUGUUUGAAGAGUAACUUGGACCACAUCCUCUGUCGUCCAGUUGUUGAUCGACUCCCCUGGUGCACACGGGCGAACCCAGUUCUCCAGAUCACAAUCACUGUCACAGUCUUCACCACCGGUUGCAAAGACGUCACCAAGAUUCAUCAGCCCAGCGCUGGUAAAGGUACUCGGACCUUUCUGCUCAAUCUGCUCCGCCUGCAGGGGUUGAUAACCAAUACCGAACUUAUCUUCUUUGACAGGCAGGUCCACCAUCUUGCCCCAGCCUUCUGACUUACCAGAGUUGACAACCUCCACUGCCUGCUUGUAUGAUGCAAUUGAGGCACUUGGCUUCUUCUGCUCAGCGAAAGCCACCCUCUCAAGAGCAACAGUCUCGAAUGCCUGGCAUAAAGUUUCAUGGAUCUCGGCCACUCCACCUCUAGCAACUUGAAAGAGAUAGGUGACUCACCAGAAUGUCUUCUUCACCGCACACAGUCACAAUCUGACCGUUCCAGACAUACUUCAGCUUCUGGUGGAGAGUUGACGAAACUGCCCCAGCUGCGUGAAUCCAGGGACGCCCCAAUAAGCAACUAUAUGCUGGCUGAAUGUCCAUCACAUAGAAGACAAUACUUAACACCUCCGGGCCUAUCUUCACCGACAACGUGACUUCACCAAAAACAGACCGUUUGGAUCCAUCAAAAGCACGAACAAUCAGAUCGCUCGGAGUAAGGAUAACCCCUUCAACAUCUAUCUUGCCUAGAGUCUUCUUGGGAAGCACAUUCAAAGACGAACCAGUAUCCACCAACACGUGUGAUAAUACUGCGCCUUUGCACUCCAUGGUAAUAUGCAAGGCCUUGUUAUGGUUGCGACCUUCAGGCGUCAAAUCUAAGUCUGUGAACCCCAAACCAUGCCUGGUACUCACGUUGGCAAUGACACCCUCCAACUGGUUGACAGAGAUCUCUUGAGGCACGUAAGCCAGAUUCAGCAUUUUCAACAAGGCAUUACGGUGUGCCUCAGAGCAUAACAGCAAUGAGAGUAUGGAAAUCUUGGACGGAGUUUGAUUCAGCUGAUCUACAAUCUUGUAGUCACUCUUCUUAAUUAUUUUCAUGAACUCCUCCACGUCUUUCUCAAACGAGCCCUCAGGCGCCUCCUUCUGAGCAGAUUCUUCAUCAACCACAGCUUGUUUACCCUUAGCUUUGGCAAGAGCCUCGACAUUGUUAUCCUUCAACGGUUGUGAAGCAAACAAACGUCCGCUUCUUGUAAAACCUCCUGGUCCCCCAACAUUGUCCACAACGGGACCCACAAUCACAGGAGUUCUACUAGGCACACCAAUAGUCACCGGAGCUUGAUUCACUGGCCUGACCUGACUUUCAGCCCUUCGAUUACUACGGUAAGCAUUGUCAUACUUCCAUGGCACAUCCCUACUGUUCUCAACCGGCCUUCUUCCUGAAGCAACGAUGGUAGUUGGAGCACCGACGGUUACAGGAGCAGAAAUGGUAACAGGAAUACCACUAGUUGUAGGCGCAUUAACAGUUCUCUGGCCACGUCCCUCGGACGGUUUGAAGUAAAUGGUGACAGUUGACACCACCCCACGAUAUUUAACGGCCCGACUAAACUGUAAACAACCCUCAUCGAUCAGAUUCUGAAUACCAGCCCUCAACUGUACACAACCAUCCUCUAAACCAGCACAAUCUAAACAGUCUUGAUCACAACCCGGGUAUACUCCCCCUUUCAACAAACGAUCCUUCACAACACCCAACGGAGUCUGAAUCUCCUCAACACUGACCACCAAGUCUUCAGCUUUACCGUCUUCCAAAUUAUUCACUCUAUGCGCACCAUGCUGAGGCAUAGGAUUGUUCACAACAUUCGGCACAGGAGCAAAAUUGAUAGUUUUGGCGUCAAUUAAGUCCUGGACCUUAUGAUGAAAAGCCCUACAGUUCUCAAUGUGGUGCCCCGGAGCACCAGAAUGGAAAUCACAAUGUACGUUGGCAUCAUACCCAUGUGGUAUUUUUGUCAAUGGAGCCAUAGUACGCAACUCCAUGAACCCCAAUCUGAGCAAUUCGGGCAACAGUUCAGCAUAGGUCAUUGGCAACGGGUCGAAUCGACGAUCCGGCAUUCUCUGUCUAGGCUGAUACGGACGUUGCUGUUGUUUUUGUUGUUGUGGUGGUUGUUGAACCCUCUGUUGUUGCUGUUGUUGACGUGGCUGAGGUGCUGGAAUGGUUACAGCAGCAACCUGGUGAUACUGACCUCUGUUAGUAUUCCUUCGGUGUUGCACAUCAUUAGUCUCACCCUCCCUUCUUCUGGGUGCCCCGGCAAAUGGUUUCUUUGAAGAUGAGGAACCAGCAUCUUGGAUCUUCCCAGCUUUAAUCAAACUCUCUGUCCUUUCUCCAUAGAUUACAACAUCUGAAAAGCUACCAAACGGGCAGCUCCCCAUCCGGUCCAUGAAUACACCUUGCAAUGUACCGAUGAACAUGUCAGUCAAUUCCCUCUCCAGCAUAGGGGGUUGUACUCGUGCAGCCAACUCGCGCCACCUUUGGGCGUACUCCUUGAAACUCUCUCCAGACUUUUGACAAAGACUUUGCAACUGAGUCCGGCUCGGCGCCAUGUCCAUAUUAUGUUUGUACUGCCUCAAGAAGGCCUCACCCAAAUCCCUCCAGCUUCGGAUAGAUUCUCUCUUUAACUCCAUGUACCAAACCAAGGAAGCCCCAGACAAGCUGUCCUGGAAAAAAUACAUCCACAUUUUCUCGUCGUCUGUAUAAGCAGAGAUUUUCCUGUAGUAGGCCUGUACAUGGGUGCGAAGGCAAGAAGUACCGUUAUAUUUGUCAAAUGAGGGCGCUUUGAACUUGUAGGGAAUUCUCAACCCUUUCAACCAGCCCCAUAUUCGUGACAUCAAAACCCAAAGAGUUCUGACACUCCAUGGCUCUGAUCUUCUAAGCUAGGGCAUCAACUUUCCGAUCUCGUUCGUCGAUUCUUCCCACGACUUCAUCAUCCUCACUGAGGAGAGUAAACAUGUCUUCCUGCCUGUCAACCAGCGGAGCAGGAUGGCGCACGGGAGCACGGGUUUCUCUGGCAUUAACAGUCUCUGCAGCAAGAGGCUGUCCAUUAAUCUGAAUACCUCUCAAAUCAUCACCCAUGGCGUAAUCAUUGACGGGAGCAACAACAGCAGCAUUGUCGGUCACAGGUGCACCCACCGGUGAGGCACGACUAGGUGGUAGAACGGCUUCCUGUCUCUGGGCUAAGGCACGCAACUCCUCUUGCCCUUGAACGACCCCUUGCAUCAUGGUCAUGAAUUGGGCCAUGUUAGCCCUCAUCUCAGCCAACUCUGCCUGAACCUGGUCCAUGCUCCUCUGUUGAUUCAAUCUGGUUGCAUAGCGGUGCGUACGUUGAUCAGCAAUACUGCCUGACACAGGAACCAGAGUGAGAAGUCUCGAUCUAGAACACCUGUAAUGCAAAAUGAUAUGUGUAUGAUGCUAAUGAUGCGUAUGAUGCACAUGAUAUGUUCAUUUCUCAGACAUUCAAGAGCCCAAUUCAUCUUUCAAGAAAUGGCAACCUGCAACAAUGAACAACGCAGAAGCAGACUACACAGGAUAAUAAGCACAAAGUGAAACAUCAACAGCCAACUUUAUAGAUAUGAGCAACAAGGAUCAUACAACAAAGGUUCAAAGAUCCAAACGAUCAGAGUACAACAAUGAAUCCCAUCCAACAAGCCUGGAGGUGAUUCUCAACAUAAACAACAGAGACACAAGCUAAGACAAAUGGCCUCCAGGAAUGAGCGUCUUCAGAUAAUGGCACUGGUCUAUCAACAAGUCACAUUCUGAACAUUCUGGCAGGGGAGUGAUCUUCUCCUUCAAUUGUCUUCUGAGCUCCACAACUUCUCCUCCAAGUUGGCUCUCUGAUGCAUGUCUCAAAUCUACUUCCUUCUUCAAUUGGAUGUCUUUGUCUCUGAGUUGCUUCUCCAAGUCUCUUAUCUUCUUCUGAUAACUGGCUUCAGCUCUCUGCAACCUCAAGCACUCACAAUGCUCUGCAUUCAACAGGGUCUCCAUCUCCUCAUAGGAUCUCUUCUUACCCUUCAAUCUAGCAACAUCCUCACCCUGCAUGUCCUUGAGUUGAUGAGCCAAGUUCAACUUAUCAGCUUUGGCUUUGUACAACUCCAUCUGGGUAUCCUGUUCCUUCUCCUUCAACCGACGAUUCUCCAUCAGGGCUUGCUUAUACUGCUCAGCAGGUACGCUCUCAGCAAGGAUCAAAGGUGGUUGCUCUUGCAAUGGCUCCAUCCUAUCAUAGGGCAACAACAAAGUCUCAACUCUCUUCUUGACCCAAUCAAGGUAAUCAGGCAUAGCAACGACAAACUUCUUCCCCAGAACAGCUCCAUCCUUGACACCAAUGGUCUUCCAAGCCCUUCCUACUUGCUUCAAUCUAGCAGGGUCACUUCGCUUCUCAAAGUAUACACUUUCAGCUAUCUCAGCAUCAAGUGGUCUUCCAUUCAUCACAAACCCCAACUGGCGAAGAGAAAGAACCAGAUUGUAAUUGAUGCAACCCUUAGUCCCUACAAGUGGCACAUUACGGAACUCUCCACAACUCAUGAUGACAUUACGCACAUCCAUCCGGUAAGAUUGCCACCUGAUAUCAUAAGAGGUAAGAGACAUAAUCCUCUGAGUCCACUUAUGAGUGCUCUGAGCAUCCACGAAAGGUCCACUGACUGGCAGGAGAGACAAGAACCAUCUGAGCAACAAUGGGAGACAACAUCUGAUAGCUCCACCCUUACCAUGCCUACUGUGAAUAGCAUAGUAAGUGUCAGCUAACAAAGUAGGAAUCGGGUUCCCUCCAAUGAAGAUAGUGACUGCAGCAAAGUCUACAAAGUUGGGCAUACUCGGGAACAAGACAAUCCCAUAAAUCAUGAUGGCCAACUGAGCAUGAAAAGCCUCCCAAUUUCCCUUCUCUGCUUCUUCUCUAGCUAUCCUCAACAAGAACUUCAAAGGCAAACCCACAACAUCCCCACUUGACUUCCAAUUAUCACCCACUUCUUUGAUACUCAGAUUAAGAGCUCUGGCAACAACUCUGAAAUCAACCUCCUUUGGAACAUCCAAGAAAGGAACCUGAUACCGGAUCGGGACAUUCAGCAGAAUAGAGUACUCUUCAAGAGUAGGAGCUAGCUGAUAAUCCUGGAAAGUGAAGCAACGGAGCUCUGGGUCAUAGAACUGUAGAAGAGUCUGCAACGGCACUGGAUCUACCACCAUCCUCAAUAGUGUCAACAAAUCCCCAUACUGAUCAGCGAACCCCUUCUGAUUACCGCCGGUCACCAAGUUGCUCAACUCUAUCAAAGAAGUCAAAGGCUCACGGUGAAAACUAUAGGAGCAAGUCUUCCGCUUCAACUCUGGAACGGAUGUCAUCCCUUACAAUGAAUAGACUCCUGAAUGAACCUGAGAAAUGAUAUGCAUGAAGAGAUUAGCUUUUUUUCUUUCUUUUUUCUUUCUUUCCAUUUCUUUUUUUCAUUUUUUUUAUUGCAUUAUUUUUUGAAAAUAAACAUGCUAUGAUGCAAAUGAUGCAGACAAGACUGGCUGGCUGUGUAUCUCGGAGCACAGGAUCAAAGCUUCGACUUGAACUCGGAACCACAAAAUCAGCUGAGACCCAAAAAUCAUCUAAGACCCAAUCUGUAGAACCAAGUCACCAACAGGAUCACAAGUCACCAACAAGUCACCAACAAGUCACCAACAAGUCACCAACUGUACCUGUAAUAAUGAUCAUUCCCUCCCCACUCACGGGUGUCAUCUAGGCCAGGGUAAGGUCAGGAUCACAAGUCACCAACAAGUCACCAACAAGUCACCAACAAGUCACCAACUGUACCUGUAAUAAUGAUCAUUCCCUCCCCACUCACGGGUGUCAUCUAGGCCAGGGUAAGGUCGAGAGAAACGCAGGAUAAAUAACCCUUUCAUAGAAUAUCAUCAUAUACACACCCGAAGUAUGUAACGACGAUACCCCAUCAGAGUCUGAACUGCUCGUGAUAUCAAGUUCCGCUAAGUGGCGCAAUACUACCCGCUUCCCAUGAAUCACUAUAUUCCUAGGUGUCCUAGAUUUCACUCAUAGCCUGGUUAUUGGGCCUUUUACCUCUUGUAACUCCAACCCCAACAGAGAGACAAACACAGCACAACCAGCACAGAUGAAAAGAUGAUGCAUGCAAACAUAAAUGCAAACAAUAAAUAAAUGAAUGCAAUAAAUGAAACAGCAAAAGCAAACAAACCCUACCCUAGAGAGCGCUAGGAGAGACUCGCUUAGGGAAGAUGGACCAGCAAGAGGUCAACUUCAAAUUAUCCCCAGCAAAGUCGCCAGCUGACGCAUUACGCGAAAAACCGGCGGGAAAACAAAACAACAGAGCCGCCACCGUGCGUUAUUUAUCCCAAAAGAGGGAAAGAAAACGCUCGAAGUAAACCUGGAAAAGACAUGGUCUCGCGACCAAAGAGAGAUGGGAUCGGGAGUCGGUUAUGCGAAGAAAACCUGGAAAAGACAUGGUCUCGCGACCAAAGAGAGAUGGGAUCGGGAGUCGGUUAUGCGAAGGGAAGGUAUUAGCACCCCUACGCAUCCGUCGUACUCGACGGGAUCCACGCACAAAAGAAAGGACAAGGUUGCUAAAACUGAUCAAACACCACACAAGGCUGGAAGGAAACACAAAAAGACAAGAGAAACUAACUCGGAAGGAUAUCGCAUCCUGGGCCUACGUAGUCUGUCAGGCACAAACAUCAGAGUCGACGUAGUUCGGGACAGGGGAAGCGUGCUCGCUAGGAUGUCGCAUCCUAUGCAUACGUAUCUUCUCUGACUAGAGAAGAAUCAGAGCACUCGUAGCUCGGCUAACGCACGCCAAACGAAACCACACAGGAAACCGACUGCCAAUCGCUGGACUUACGUCAGACUCCACACAAACAGGCAAACCUGGAAACCGAAUGCCAAUCGCUGGACUUACAUCAGACUCCAAACCAACAAACACACACAGGAAACCAACUGCAGAAACCGACUGCCAAUCGCUGGACUUACGUCAGACUCCACACAAACAGGCAAACCUGGAAACCGAAUGCCAAUCGCUGGACUUACAUCAGACUCCGAACCAACAAACACACACAGGAAACCAACUGCUAAUCGCUGGACUUAUGUCAGACUCCAACAAGCAAACAAGACACAGGAAACCAACUGCCAAUCGCUGGACUUACGUCAGACUCCAAACACACACAAAGGGGGUUGAAAAAGAAAAGGGCGCCCGGAGAGAUCAGCUCAUCUCCUGCCUACGUACCUCAUCUGGUAUGAGGAUCAGGGCGACGUAGUUCCCCUACACAGGGAAAGAAGGACUAACCUAACCAGAUACAAAGGGAGACACAAACUACUAGGGAGACUACGACUCAAGCCUAAAAGUUAUCAUGCAUACCAUCCCUAUGUUAAGGUUUCUAUCUAACUUGCACAGGAAGCAAGCUAUCCUAAACAGCACAAGCAAAGUCAUACAAGCACAACAAGCAAGCACACACACUAGAUGCAAACAAAUGGGUUCAUACAAGGUUAGGCUGUGAAACACAAGCCAACUGGAAUCGGGUGUAGUUAGCUCUUAACCCUAACAUUGAGAGUUAGGGUGAAGCUGAUGAAAUGGGAAGUGAGGGUAAGACCUCACAGCUCUUANNNNNNNNNNNNNNNNNNNNNNNNNNNNNNNNNNNNNNNNNNNNNNNNNNNNNNNNNNNNNNNNNNNNNNNNNNNNNNNNNNNNNNNNNNNNNNNNNNNNUCUAAUCAUUUCGGCUUUGCCUUUUGGCUAGCCAUGCCAUUAAAAUAUAAUACCUUUAGGAACAAGAAAUCUCCUAAACAAUUGCAUUCUCAAUGGUGUGGCCAACACCGACAACAAUAAUGACAUAACCAUGAUGAUGUGGUUUUAUAUUAUUCUUGUUCAUUAAAUCCUUUGGAAUGAAAGAGUAUUUUGCAUAUGGUGGAUUUAACGACUUCUUAAACAACCUAGAGUCAACGGCAUAAGUGACCUUAGGUUGCAACGCUUUUCUAAUUUGACCUUAAGAGUGUUUACCUCUUUUGCCAAAUAUGACAAGCGUCACAAUACCUAACUCUACUACAUCCAUCAAUGUCAAUAUCUUGAAUUUUCUGCAAUACUAUCUUUCAACGCUUCUAAAUCAUUUUGAGCUUUUGAUACUUACCUUCCAAAAAGAAAAAAUAUGUUUGUCGGAAGAUAGUCUUUUAAAAGCAUCUACAGCUUCAUUAUGCAGUUUUUCAAAAGCUAUUUUUAGUUCGGAAAAAGACAUAGAGAGAAAUUAUUGUAAUAGCUGUUUUACCUUUUUUGUCAUUGUUUUUCUUCUUGUGGUGGACACAAUUUUUGUGUGAGCCAUAAGGCACAGAUUUGCGGCUUCAUCACCAUCACUUGAGCUUUGUGUGCUUGAUGAAUCACUAUCACUUUCCAUGCAAUGUACGCUCUUCUUGUUUGCUGUACCCUUUUGGUGAAGCUUUUCUUUUGAUCCUUAUACUUCAGGGCAGUCCGUUUAUAAUGUCCAGAUUUAACACAAUUAAAACAAGAUCCUCUUCCUCUACUCUUCUUGUUCUCUUCUCUUGUUUCGAAUCUGCAGAUUGUCUUCGAAACUUCAUGAGAUUUUUGUCGGAAUGCUUGACUCCAUUCUUUCGAAUGAAUCUAUUAUAUCUCCUUACAAACAGUCCCAUUUCCUCAUCAUCCGAAUCUUUUGUCGCUACUAGAAUCAUUUUCACUUUGCUCUUUUCGUGAGGACUUAGAGCUAGAGGCCACAAGAGCUAUUGGCUUCUUCUCUCCCUCUUUGUCUCUUUUCUUCUCCUUUUCCUUCUUACUUUUGUUUCUCUAUUUUCAAGACUUUCCAAUGCUUGCUGAUGUUCUUCCAGCUUUCCAAACAAGUUGUAAUCAUAAGUCUCGUUAGAUCGUUGGCUUCCUUAAUUGUUGUUACUUUAGGUUCCAUUCCCUGCUAAGACACCUGAGAAUUUUAUUAGUAGCAAUUUCAUUGGAAAUAGGUUUUCCAAGCGCAUUCAAUCAGUUGUUAGAUGAGAUGAAUCUCUUUUGCAUGUCGGAGUAGAUUCUCCUUGUUUCAUGCGAAAGAGCUCAAAUUCUUGAUUGAGUGUGUUAAUCCGGGACUGUGUUACUUCAGUAGUACCCUCAUGGGCAACUUCUAAGCAUCCACAUUUCUUUAGCUGUCGUGCAAUGGGAUACUCGAUAAUACUCAUCAACACCAAGUGCUGAAAUUAGCAUGUUUCGAGCUCCCAAUCACACGACCACUUUUUCUCAUCUUUCUCAUUCCAAUCAUCUUCUGGUUUAGGUACUUGGCGCCACCAGCCCGGUUUUCUAGUAGCGGUUCAGAAUAGACGGAAGUCGAUUCGGGACUGAUAUUUUCUGCCAACUUUAAAAACUCUGAUAAAACUUUAAAUCCGUUAAAUUUUAAAGAGGUGAUCUAUUCACCCCCCCUCUCGAUCACUAGCCACACCGUCUAACAAAAUUCAACUUUCAAGGGCAUGUGACAAGAGGAAAGAUUAUAGGUCAUUUUGCGCCAUUACCAUUGAACAAACAAUUUUCCUCAACUUCUAAAAUGCAUAAAUCCCUCAUGCUAAAUCCAAAUGAUUUAAAAUUUGUGACCUAAUUUAAUAGGGAUGAAAGAGAUAAAAAAUUUAUGAAGGAACUCUUUCCAUUUAAAGUUAAUAGAAAAAGUUAUUCAAGGUGGAAGAAGUGGUUAUUUGGCUUGGUACUUAGAAAAGUUUCAAUUAUGUUUGAUUUCUUAGAAAAGUUAUUCAAGGUGCAAAACUGAAUUCCAUUGACUAUAUAAACAAGUGCGUUGCCUCAAGAAUAACACAGACACCUUGCCCAAGCUUUGCCAAGAGAUCUCUAAACCUCACACCAUAUAAUAUCUUGAGGAUUUCUUAGAAAUCAAUUUUGAAUUUGACCUUCUGUAUUGAAGUUCAAACUCCAAGGAUUCAUUUCCUUUUUCAUCUCAAUUGGUCACUGCAAGCAAGAGGAGGAAGAAUCAAGCAAAUUCAGAUCAAGAUCAAGCUGAAUUGAAGCUACCCAAAGGUGAAAUUUAAGAAACUUGUCUUCUUCGAUUCUCCCUCAUUUCUCAACUAUUUUGAUUGAGUUUUGGUUUGAUGAAGUCCUAUCAAUGUAGGCAACAAGAUUGAGUUACUUUGAGGUCAAAUCGAAGCAACUCAGAUCACAAACCUUAAAUUUCAAAUCCAUGUAUCUUUCAAUAUACUUGGAAUUGGAAGAAAUAGAGGUCAGAUUCGUGCUCCUGAGCGGUUUGCCUUUAAACAAUGUCCUUGUUUUUCAUUUUGGUGGUGGUUUGUGAUGGACCAGUCCGAUGAGGUCCACCGGAGCUAGGUCUCUGGUGGUGCGUUGGCAUCUUCCAAACCAUCAGAUCCCUUUGAAAUGUUUUAAUCCUGGUCUUUCCUUUUGAUUACCAUGCGUGUGGUGUAGUUGACUGAGGUGUUUAUGGAACGCGCACGCUUGGCCAUCAGAUCUGUCAUCUCAAUUAAUGAGGGAGAUCUGAUGACCCUUGAUUUUUCAUAUUUUCAUAUUUUUCAUUUAAUUACCUUUUUUGUUUAAUUCAUAAUAAAUCUAUUUUUAAUCCAAAAAAUAUGGUACUUUCACCAAAAAAUCUUUAAAUAUUUUUCUCUUCCAUAUUCUAAAUAAAAUUUUUUUUUGGGAUUGAUUUUGGUAUUUUUCAUGAAUUAAAUGUUUUUAUGCAUAUUUUUAAUUAUUUAAAAAUACUUCUGACUUUUUAAAAAUUCUGAAUUUUUUUGUCUAAGGCCCUUUGGACAUGUUUGACAUAGGAUAAAUCCCUUGGCCAUUUAUUUGGUGUUUUGAAGGGAUUUUACGUUUUGUCCAAAUUAAAAUGUAUUUUAAUUCAUUUUUAAUGUGUUUUUUAAUUGAUUAAAUGUUUAAAAAUUAUUUUGAGCCAUUUUUAUGGUCUUGUGGUGUUUGACUUUAUGUUUGGGCUUUGAUAAUGGUUUAUUUGACUUUUGUUGGAUCAAAACCAUUGGAUUUAGAGGAUUUACAAAAUGUACAUUUCAUCUCCCAAAAUGAAUGGAUGGUUUUGAUUAGUUGAAAUUCCUCUCAUGAUCAAUUUGUGUUUCUAUCUCCUAAUUCCUCUUUAUCUUCAUCCCUAUUCUUCCCCAUUCCCUCAUUUGACCAAUAAAAUCUCUAAUGUCUAAAGGUUAAUUGACUCAUCAAUGACCUUGUGUCAGAUGAAUGAAUACAAGUAUGACUGAGAUACGUCCCUCCCAUUUUUGUUUAAUGUGUGGUAUGCUUUAGGAGUUUGAUUCUUCGUAUCAAAUAUCUAACAUGCAUUAAUACCUAUAUCUUAUUUCCCGACCUCAACUAGUUGUGACUUCUACAUAAUUCCAAUUACAAUUGCUUAAUAUAUAGCUAAAUUUGAUCAAGAAGGUAUGUCAUUCUAGUAAGUAAGAUUGUAAGUAUCCCAUUCUUCAUGGCAUUGUGUGGAAACUUGACAUUUUUUCCUUUCAUGAGAGCUAGUGGCAUACUUGUUGAGUUAUCCAAGGUAGAGUCCUUCUCAUGGAAGAUGUCUUGGUUUAAGGAUUCAGACUUGUGAGUGAAUGGUUGAGUGUUCUCCAAAGAAUGACUUAAUAAAUUAAAACUCAACACCAACCUUUGACUAACCAUUAACUAAGUCUUAUUCAUUAUGCUUUUACUUUCGAGUUAAUUACUUUAUGCGAUUAGUCAUUUACCAUUCAUUGUCAUUUGAACUUGUUUAUGUUUAAGUCCUUUUUCACUAUGCUCAUUUGAGCCAUAUUUUAUGAUUGUAUAUAUUGUUUGUUCUUUUUGAUUUUGUUUGUGGUCUUAUGACCUUAAAACGCCUAAUAACAACAAAAACCCUAAAAAAACAUUUGGUGGACUGUUGGAACUGGAUCUAAGCUUUGGACUUAGAAUUAGGCAACUUUCCUUGUGCUAAAGGACUUGGCCAAUGCCAAGAUUUUUAGACUGAACUAUCUUUGACCAUUGCCUUCAUUUGAUUGCAAUACUUGAGGAUUUCUUGGAUUCAUCUACUACUCUGUCUUUGUGCUUAAUUGUUAUUUUGAUCUUAUGUCUGAUGUUUUGUUCUGAGUUGAUCAAAGAAUAUUUUAUCUAAUACAUUGGAAGACAAAGAAAAUUGCUAGCUAUUGGAGUGCUUGCUUGGAUGUGGCUAUCUUUAUUUGAUGCCUUGAUCAUCAUGAUGUCUGGAUAUUUCUUGUUGCCUUUUGCUUGAUUAAAGUCCAAAGGAAAAUGAGUUUCUAUAUGACAUUCUUGUCUAUUGGAUUGCAUCCCAUUGGUCAGAUCUUUUCAACUCUAAACUUUUAAAUUCGUGCUUAGGAUAGCCUCUUCAUCUCCUCCCACUUCUUUAAUUUCAAAAUCUCUCUCUCUCUCUUUUCAAAAACCUUAUUUGCUUGUGAUUUCAAACAUAGGCAUGUUUUAAUGAUUAGAAACUUUGGCCUUAUGCCAUUGAAUUUUCAAACUCUUUCUUAAAUCAAACUUGUGAAUGAACUUAACCAUAUUGACUUUAAUUUUGAAAAGACAAAACGAACUAACGACCUAAUUUAAAUGUUUGGCCUUUUUGUGUCCUCUUCUAAAAACUUUUGUUAAAAUCAAUUCACCCAUUUAUUUGAAACAUUCACCACGAACUACGGGGUUUUGAUCCCUCAUUUUUAUGUUGGUACGUAGGCAUAACACCGAAGGUCUUGUCAAAUAGAAAAAUAUAAUAAAUAAAUUCUUUUCUCAUCCCCACACUCUAUUUUAUCAAACAUAUUUUAUACCAAAAACAUAUGCACACAUAAAAAAGGCAUCCCUAGGAGUACUUAGGACACUUUGGGUGCUAACACCUUCCCUCUGUGUAACCAACCCCCUUACCUGUAAUCUCUGACAUUCUAUUAGUUUUAAUUUGAAAACUUCUUAUCUUUGGGUUUUUUUUCAUACUUUUCCCUUUUCCUUUGGAAACAAUAAAAGCGUGGUGGCGACUCUGGUUUUAUUGACGUUAAGCUUAUCCAUAGCUUGUUGGUCAUGAAUUUACCGCUACAAAAAUUAAGUGGUGACUCUGCUAGAGAGUAGUCCUCAGUGAGUUUAGACCAAUUUUUUAUGUGUAUAUAUUUGUAUAUUUGAUGUUUGUAUAUUUGUUUGUGUGAUAUAAUCUGUCUGUUUUGCUUGGUGAUCUCUGAGUGGUGAGAUAAGUUCUAACCCGAACUUGAAUGCAUUUAAGAUAGGAGGAUGGUAUAGUCAUCUUCAACUUGUGUGGAGUAGUCCUUAACAUGUUGGCUUGAGACCCAUCUACUCAGUGGAGAACUCUUUGGAGUUACUAAUGUCACAAAAGCUAUUUGUGGAUAGGAACUACUUUCUUUAAAUCUGGGGUUCAAGAAGCUGAAGACCGUAGAACAUUUAACCUAACAUGGACUAUUUAGGACGUAGUGCGGAGACUGUUCAAGUGUAGACUUGAUAACAGUUGUUACGCGAUACUACACUCAAACGAGUUUCUCUUGAGAAUAUUUUGGGUUGAUGAGUCAGUCAUCCUAACCUAUAAUAUCCUAUAGAUGGGAUUGAGACUCUGGGCACUUUUAUAGAACAUGUUUUACAUGUUUCAUCCUUAGUACACUCCUUUGGGAUGGUUCUUAACUUGACUCCAUACUCGUGACUCGCAACAAACCCUUUGAUUCUUCGUCGAUCUAAUCAAUUCUCAUAAAUAUCAAUGGAACUUGGGUGUUAAUAAGGUGAAAACCAUAAUCCACGAGGAUGGAUGACUGAUCUUGAUGAUGACUUGAUCCAUCCCUUGACCUUUGUUUGUGUUUGCCUUGUGUGUGAUCCCUUGUUUGUGAUUGUUGCAUUCAUGCAUACAUACGCAUCAUAACAUUCAUCACAAAAAUAAAAUUUCAAGGAAACUAAGGUCUUAUUUGCAAAUACUUUCAGACUAUGGGUUAUGGACGAAGAAACACUAAGAAGUACAGUUUCAGAUGUCCUAAUUUGAAAGAGCUAAGGAAGUUGUCAUCCUUUGUACUAGAUCCGUUUGAAGGAGAUGAGCGAUCCAAAAUGCAGUGGAAUUUAAAAUUUUCUCCUUUAGUGAUCCUUACGAAUGGGCAUGAUCAGUGAUAGAAUCAUUACCUCUUGUGGCGAUUUUAACCUUUGAUGCAGAUCUACGGAGCGAUCACGAACGUUGAAUGAUAACAACGCCUCUACUCAGUCCACACGAACGAAUUCCUUCAAUCUCAGUGCUAGCUACUACGAAUGAAGGCUUUGAGUGAGUGAGAGAGAGUAGAGAAAUUCCAUCUUCAUAAAUGCUUCUGCACAAGGGUUCUAUUUAUAGAACCACUUGUGUGGGCUGCAAGCUAAAAAUCCCACUUAAGUGUACGUGGCCCAUAUCUUAUAAUAUGCCAAAAUCACUUAAGCACGUGGUACCUUACCAUAUUUCAUAUUCUACUUAAGUACACCGUACCUUACGAUGUUCUAUAAUUCACUUAAGUGCACCGUACCUUACGGUGUUCCUUAGUUACUCUAUCUCUCAUCAAGUGGUACCUUACCAUAUUUCAUAUUCUACUUAAGUACACCGUACCUUACGAUGUUCUAUAAUUCACUUAAGUGCACCGUACCUUACGGUGUUCCUUAGUUACUCUAUCUCUCAUCAAUCCGUCCUUUUGUGUGUGACCCUAUAGGUUUUUGCGGCAUUGACAAUUAUAUUAAAUCACGUAUUUAACAUAAUAAAUAGUGAGUGGUAUCUAGCAACACAUCACUGCUACCCAAAACACGAAAAUGUCAUGUGAUCUGACAAAUCCUUUUGUGUAUAAUUACCCUUUUGCCCUUAUGUCUAUAUUGAACACAAGGCAUAAACCGUGUCAUCCUUGUCUAGUUCAAUAUUGGGCCCAUAGACAUUUACCCUGUUACGCAGGAUGGCCAAAUUCCAUCUAGGUCACUCAUGUCCCUUAGCAUGCUUCGUGGAGUACCCAUCGACUGUCUUUAUGGUCAUCCAGUUACGGACAAUGUUUGAUCAGCAAUAAGGCACUCGACUCUACAUCUAGGGUCCAUAGUGGUUUCAGGUCGAAGGUGGUAUACACCAUUAUCACCAUGAGAAUAACUUAUGACACUUUGCAUAACAUUCUAUAUAUAUUCUCAUAGUGGUCAAUCCAGUAUAAAUAUUACUCUUAAUAUUCAUAUCUAUGUUUAAGACUUGAUAACUCCUUAUCCAUAUCCAUGAGAUGUAUCAUCAGUCUACUAUACAUAAUAGUCUUAAUGCUUUAAUGUUAUCCCACUUCACAAUAAAGCUCGACUACAGAUACUUUAAGAAUAGUGUCCUUAUGUUUAAUGUGAUCUCAUGAUUAAGUCACACUUGAUACAUUAAACAAACUAGCUACUCUAGGGAUUUUAUUAAACAAACAUAAUAAAGAAAAAUCCUUUUAUUAUUAAUAAAUAAUUCGAUACAAGUACCAAAAGUAUUGGCCUCUAGGGCUUACAACAACAAUCUCCCACUAGCACUAGAGCCAAUCAGGCAUACCCCUAAUGCUCAUAGAUCUAGUAUGGCCAUCAUGCUUUUGCUGCGCAAGAGGAUUUGUCAGUGGGUCAGCAAUAUUAUCAAGUGUAGGUACUAUGCAUAUUUGCACAUCUCCUCUAUCUAUUAUCUCUCGGAUGAGGUGAUAACGCCUAAGUAUGUGAUUGGAUCGUUGGUCAGAUCUAGGCUCCUUAGCUUGUGCUCUAGCACCAUUGUUAUCACAAUAGAGACCAAUGGGAUCCAUAAUGCUAGGAACUAUGCCAAGUUCACUAAUGAACUUUUUGAUCCAAACAACUUCCUUUGCUACACUUGAGGCAGCAAUAUACUAGGCCUCGGUUGUAGAAUCAGCAAUGUAUGUUGCUUUGAACUUUUCCAGCUCACAGCGCCACCGUUUAAGCAAAAUGCAUAACCAGAUUGCGAUCUAAAGUCAUCCUUAUCUGUCUGGAAGCUAGCAUCGGUGUAUCCAAUUAUAGAAAGCUCUUCCUGAUCUUCAUAUAUCAAGAAUGAGUCCUUAUUCCUUCUCAAAUACUUGAGGAUAUUCUUGACAGCUACCCAAUGAGCAUCACCAGGAUCAUAUUGGUACCUACUCGUUGCACUUAAAGCAUACGAGAAAUCUGGUCGAGUACAUAACAUGGAACACAUGAUAAAUCCUAUUGUAGAUGCAUAUGGAAUCUUAUUCAUGCGAUCCCUUUCUUCCUUAGCUGAAGGGGAUUGCGUUUUUGAUAAACACAUGCCAUGUUGCAUAGGUAUGAAUCCUUUCUUGGAAUCAUGCAUAUUAAAGCGUCUCAGCACUUUGUCUAUGUAUGUACUCUGACUUAGGCCAAGCAGUUCUUGUGAUCUAUCUCUAUAGAUUCUGAUUCUUAAUAUAUAGGCUGCUUCACCUAGGUCCUUCAUAGAAAAGCAUUUCCCCAACUAAGACUUUACUUGUUGCAGGGUAGGGACAUCAUUUCCAAUGAGUAAUAUGUCAUCUACAUAUAAUACCAAGAAAACAAUCAUGCUCCCACUAACCUUCUUGUAGACACAAGGCUCAUCUUCGUUCUUGAUGAAUCCUUAUUGUUUUACUAUUUCAUCAAAACAAAGAUUCCAGCUUCUGGAAGCUUGCUUCAAUCCAUAGAUUGAUCUUUGUAACUUACAUAUCUUUUGGGCUUCUUCUGGCAUGUCAAAUCCUUCAGGCUGUGUCAUGUACACAUCCUCAAGAAGAUUCCCAUUAAGGAAAGUAGUUUUGACAUCCAUCUGCCAUAUUUCAUAAUCAUGAUAUGCAACGAUAACAAGUAAAAUCCGAACAGAUUUAAGCAUUGCAACUGGUGAAAAGGUUUCAUCAUAGUCAACCCCAUGAAUUUGUUUAACAUCUGCCAUAUUUCAUAAUCAUGAUAUGCAACGAUAACAAGUAAAAUCCGAACAGAUUUAAGCAUUGCAACUGGUGAAAAGGUUUCAUCAUAGUCAACCCCAUGAAUUUGUUUAUAUCCUUUUGCAUCCAAUCUUGCCUUAUAGGUAUGUGCCUUGCCAUCCAUGUCAGUUUUCUUUUUGAAGACCCACUUGCAUCCUAUAGGGUUAACUUCUACAAGAGGCUCUACCAAGGUCCAAACAUGGUUUGUGUACAUGGAAUCCAUUUCAGAUUUCAUGGCUUCUAGCCACUACUCGGGACCAGUUAUGGCCUCUUGGUAGGUCACAGGCUCAUCUUGAUCCAUGAGUAAUACAUCACCUUAAUCAGUUAUGAGAUAUCCAUAUCUCUCAAGUAGGUGACGUAUCCUACUUUACCUACGCUGGUCUUGUUCUACUUUAGCAGGUUGCUCUUGUCGCAUUACGCGAAAAACCGGCGGGAAAACAAGAACAACAGAGCCGCCACCGUGCGUUAUUUAUCCCAAAAGAGGGAAAGGAAACGCUCAGAGUAAACCUGGAAAAGACAUGGUCUCGCGACCAAAGAGAAUGGGAUCGGGAGUCGNGGAGCAUGUGUCACAAAAAGUCAACAUAAGACCAAACAGGGGAGAAAAAUCUCAAACAAAUAGGAAAUGCCACAAACAAUCCCAAGAAAAAUCACAUGUAAACUAGACAUACUCAAGUACAUUCAUGCAAAAACUCAAUCCAAUUUGAGGUCAAGAGGCAUGGUAAAGAAAAUCAUGAAGUUGCACAUCAAUGGUGUGACACAAAUUGUCACACCCUACUUCAGAAAAUCAUAACUCAAUGACCAGAGAUGAAAAAUUCAUAAACUCUAUACCAAAAUCACCAUGAGUGUGUCUAGUUUAAUCACAAAAAAUUUCAAAGCCAAUGGACGAAUCAUCAUCAUUUCACAAUUGAUUUGGCAAAAGGUACAAAAAAUGGUCACAUGUCACAAACCCUAGCAUCAUAUAAAAUCUACUCAUGCAAAAAUUCUGGAAAAUACAUGAUAAAAAACUAGAGAUCAAGAUGGAUAAGAUGCAAAAAAUCCCAUUAAUUUUGGAUUAAACAUAGAUGAGAUAUGAUUUUUGCAAGUUAGUACAUCCAAAUGAAAUAAAUAUUGAGAAAAUAAUUGAAACAAACAUGAUUAUUUAAAUAAUUGGACACGGAGUGGCAAUCUGGUAAAUAUUGUGAAAACUUAGAAAUAAAUAUUGAGAAAAUAAUUGAAACAAACAUGAUUAUUUAAAUAAUUGGACACGGAGUGGCAAUCUGGUAAAUAUUGUGAAAACUUAAUGAAACGGUGCGCAUGGCUUUGGGACGUGGCAACAAGCGACUGGCUCAUGGCAAUGGAAUAGUGUCUGGCCAUGCAAAACAAAAGCUACACGAAUAGGACAAGAAAUCUGGGUUUAACAUGAAGUUUAGGGUUCAGCUACAGUGACCAUCAUCAUCCUCAUCAAAUCGUGCAAAAUAUUUUGGCCCAGAAAAUGAAAUUAAGCAUACCAUUAUGACCAGCAAACCAAGCACAACAAGAAUACAUCAUUCAUUUUCACUCAAACAUGUUAACAAGGAAGCAACGAGCAAAAAUAUAUUUGGAUAUGAAACUUCAAAACCAGAUUUCUCAGCCAUCACUCCAUCAAUUUGCACGAUUCAAAGCUUAAUGAAACCAGCAUUACAGGAUCAAUCUAAAGCAUGCAAUAAUUUAGUGAAAUAAGGAGGUCGAAUUCUUACCAAGUUGGAAGAGCAGUUGUGAUGCAGUGAUGAUUUAGCCUCAAAUGCUCGAAACAGAUGAAGCUCCAAGCUCCAGAUGAUGAAUGAACAAGGUGGAAGUUGUUUUUGGUCAGGGAUUGGGAUCGUUCAGAAGUCAUCAGUCAAUGCACAUUGUUUACCAGAACACGCCUAAAAAAGUCCAGCCAUGGUCAACUGGGCCUGAUUUUAUGGUUUUGAUGGUGGGAAUUGGUGUUAAGGAGGUCUCGAUUCAUGUCCAUCAUAGACCUCAUAUAACAUGUUCAAACAUCAUCAUGGAAGAAUUUGAAGGCCAGACAAGUAAAUUUGCCAAUAAAUCAGAUAAGUUGACCUGUAAUUGGGAUAUUUGCCAAAAAUGGAAAGUCUUGGAAUCGCUCGAAACUUACAUGCAUGGAUACAAGCUUCAAAUGAUUUUUGCCCAACAUGAAAGUUGAAAGAUCUUCGUUCUUCCCAUUGUCAGCAACAAAGUCCAAGAACACUCAUUCCCAUGUAUGGUUGGCAGAGGUUUAUGAUCAAAUCAUUUUGCAAGAAAUUUUGGGUGAACUCAAAAGGCCCAUACUGUCAAAUNNNNNNNNNNNNNNNNNNNNNNNNNNNNNNNNNNNNNNNNNNNNNNNNNNNNNNNNNNNNNNNNNNNNNNNNNNNNNNNNNNNNNNNNNNNNNNNNNNNNNNNNNNNNNNNNNNNNNNNNNNNNNNNNNNNNNNNNNNNNNNNNNNNNNNNNNNNNNNNNNNNNNNNNNNNNNNNNNNNNNNNNNNNNNNNNNNNNNNNNNNNNNNNNNNNNNNNNNNNNNNNNNNNNNNNNNNNNNNNNNNNNNNNNNNNNNNNNNNNNNNNNNNNNNNNNNNNNNNNNNNNNNNNNNNNNNNNNNNNNNNNNNNNNNNNNNNNNNNNNNNNNNNNNNNNNNNNNNNNNNNNNNNNNNNNNNNNNNNNNNNNNNNNNNNNNNNNNNNNNNNNNNNNNNNNNNNNNNNNNNNNNNNNNNNNNNNNNNNNNNNNNNNNNNNNNNNNNNNNNNNNNNNNNNNNNNNNNNNNNNNNNNNNNNNNNNNNNNNNNNNNNNNNNNNNNNNNNNNNNNNNNNNNNNNNNNNNNNNNNNNNNNNNNNNNNNNNNNNNNNNNNNNNNNNNNNNNNNNNNNNNNNNNNNNNNNNNNNNNNNNNNNNNNNNNNNNNNNNNNNNNNNNNNNNNNNNNNNNNNNNNNNNNNNNNNNNNNNNNNNNNNNNNNNNNNNNNNNNNNNNNNNNNNNNNNNNNNNNNNNNNNNNNNNNNNNNNNNNNNNNNNNNNNNNNNNNNNNNNNNNNNNNNNNNNNNNNNNNNNNNNNNNNNNNNNNNNNNNNNNNNNNNNNNNNNNNNNNNNNNNNNNNNNNNNNNNNNNNNNNNNNNNNNNNNNNNNNNNNNNNNNNNAUCAAAAGGCAUUUUUGGAAUGUGCAUGCGAAUAAUUUCAAGUGUGGUAUCAAAAAAUGUGAAUCUUUUGAAUUUAGAACACUUGCCAACAUAUGCCUACCAGUUAAAAAGGCGGCUGAAAUGAUAUUUUAAACAUGUUGAGCCCAAUUCGCCAGCCUCGCACUGCAUGCACCUUCACCACUUAAGCUGAACUUGACAAAUUAGCAAAAACAUGUCAUUUUUCCAUAAUUUCGAGAUUACCACCUGCGUUAAUCAUGCGUUAAACACAUUAAAUCAGCAGUAAUAGAGAUCGUUUCACUUCUGAAUCAAACCCUAUGCAGCCACAUGUUCUAAGCAGAAAAAUUGCCAUUUCUGCUCAAUUCACCAUUUCCUUUUCAUUGUGAAUUUUUCGGCCAAAAACUGCAAAACCUGAGCUGGCUUUGUUUGCUUUAUUCUAUACCAGUCAUCUUUGAGCCAUUUCAAGCUUGUUUCCCAGUGUACAUAUCUAAGCCAUUUCUACAUUCAAGCACUCAUCAGGGCAGAGUUUGAUUGAGCAAAACCAUAGCAUUCCUGGAGCCACAUUACCUUGACAACACUUCCAAAGGACCCCUAGGUCAUGUGAACAUGUUGGACCAACCCUAGGGCCUUGGCUCAAUGGAGAUUGUACUUGCUUGAUUGAUUGACUGAUCUCCUGAUCAGUUUGACCUAAUUCUUCUGAAUGGCUUGCACUUGAGGCAAAGGGACAAUGCAAUGCUAUGCAGUGGACCAUGUUAAUGUUAUGACCUAAUAUGAGAAUGUAUGUACAAUGAUAGGUGCAAAUUUGAGGUGCUACAGUUCUUCCACAACUACUUGUGUUUCCUGCUCUAAUACCUCCAUAGGUGUAUCAAUGCUUUGUGAUUCUUGAAUUUCUUCAAGCUCUACUUUUCUCCCACUGAUUCCUAUGGAAAUAAAAUCCUUUUCUAGGAGAACUCCAGUUCGAGCGACAAACACUUUUCCCUCAGAAGGAUUGUAGAAGUAAUACCCUCUUGUUUCUUUAGGAUACCCCACAAAUAAGAAUUUGUCAGAUUUGCGCUCAAGCUUAGUUGAAAUUUGCCAUUUCACUAAAACUUCGCAACCCCAAAUCUUCAUGUAAGACAUGUGUUGUUUCUUACCACUCCAUAUCUCAUAUGGUGUAUUUUUAACCUUUUUGUAUGGAACACGGUUAAGUGUGUAAGCUACUGUCAAUAGUGCAUGUCCCCAAAAGGAGUUUGGAAGAUUGGCGUGACUCAUCAUGGAUCGGACCAUGUCUAACAGGGUUCGAUUUCUUCUCUCAGAUACACCAUUCCAUUGGGGUGUUUUAGGAGGAGUAAGGUGGGAUAGGAUCCCACACUCUUUCAGAUGGUCAUCAAACGCUAGGCUUAAAUACUCACCACCUCGAUCUAAUAGAAGAGUUUUAAUAUUCUUACCUAGUUGGUUUUGUACUUCAUUCUUGAAUUCCUUGAACUUUUCAAACGACUCUGAUUUGUACACAUAACCAUAUCUACUGAAAUCAUCAGUAAAUGUGAUGAAGUACUAAAAACCUUCUCUGGUUGGUAUGUUCAGUGGUCCACAUACAUCAGUAUGUAUGAGGGCCAAAAGAUCAUAAGCUCUUUCACCUUUUCUUGUGAACUGAGACUUUGUCAUCUUUCCAAUUAAACAAGAUCUGCAUGUCUCAUAUGAUUCAUAAUCAAAAGAGUCCAAGAGUCCAUCUUUACGGAGUUCGAAAAUGCGUUUCUCAUUUAUGUGGCCCAAUCGAUAAUACCAAAGGUAAGUUGGAUUUAACUCAUUAGGUUUCAUUCUUUUAGUAUUAAUGUUAUGAAUAGGCAUUUCAAGAUCAAGGACAUAUAAUCCAUUGUUCAUUUGUGCAGUAACAUAGAAUAUAUCAUUCAAAUAAAUUGAGCAACAAUCGUUCUUUAUUAUAAAUGAAAAAUCAAACUUAUCCAAACAAGAAAUGAAAAUAAUAUUCCUGCUAAUUGCAGGUACAUAAUAACAAUUCUCUAACUGAGUUAUUAAACCACUAGGUAAAGUCAAUACAUAAGUUCCUACGGCUAAAGCAGCAACCUUUGCUCCAUUGCCAACUCGUAGGUCAACUUCACCUUUUUCCAAAUCUCUACUCCUUUUUAGCCCCUGCACAUUGGUACAAAUGUGAGAACAAUAAGUUCCUACGGCUAAAGCAGCAACCUUUGCUCCAUUGCCAACUCGUAGGUCAACUUCACCUUUUUCCAAAUCUCUACUCCUUUUUAGCCCCUGCACAUUGGUACAAAUGUGAGAACCGCAUCCAAUAUCUAAUAUCCAUAAUGCAGAAGUAGAUAAAUUAAUUUCAAUAUAAAAAAUACUUGAAGUUGAAGUCUCUACUCCAUUCUUCUUAUCUUCCAGGUACUUUGGGCAGUUUCUCUUCGAGUGUCCGGUCUUACCGCAAUGGAAGCAGGUGCCUUCCUUUACUAUGCCUCCACUAGGCUUUAAAGCAGCAACAAUGGGUUUGGGUUUGGCAACUGCCUUGCCUUUCCCUUUAUCACCCUGCUUGGUGGGUCUUUUGUUCUGUCUCUUUCCAUUUCCGAUCAUCAGAAUGGACUUCCCUUUUGACUCCAGAUUCUACUCAGCAGUUCUUAACAUGGCUAGCUGUUCAGGAAGAGAUUUGUACAUAUCAUUCAUAUUGAAAUUUUGGACAAAUUGACUGAAUCUAUCUGGCAACGAUUGCAUGAUCAAAUCAGUCACAAGUUCCUUUUCGAGGGGAAAACCCAACCUCUCAAGGUUUUCCACAUAUCCAAUCAUCUUGAGCACAUGGGGACCUACAGGGGCUCCCUCAACUUACUUGCCUUGAAAACGGGCUUUUGAAACUUCAAACCUUUCAUGCCUUGCUUGCUCUUGAUAGAGCAUCUUCAGGUGUUCGAUCAUAUCGAACGCUUCCAUGUUCUCAUGUUGCUUUUGCAACUCUGAGUUCAUGGUAGCUAGCAUGAGACAAGAAGUUUCAUUGGCAUCAUCGACAUGCUUCUUAUAAGCAUCUCUUUCUGCCUUAGGUGCAGAACUAGGAGGUUCCUCUUCAGGAACAGGUGUCUCCAAGACAUACAACUUUUUAUCAUGUUUGAGGAUAAUCCUCAGGUUUCGGUGCCAAUCCAGAAAAUUUGUCCCAGACAAUUUUUCCUUGUCAAGGAUUGAUCGCAAGAUGUUGUUAGAGGUGUUUGCUGUCAUGGUUAUCUACAUAAGGAUUAAGAAAAUAUAAGUAUCAUUGACAUAUUUAAUUAGGCCUUUAUUCAAAUAUGCUCCCACUAUUUUACUCAAAACAAAUGACCCUCAUCAUUUGAUUCGGAAAAUCCCGUUGGAAGAUUUUCUAGUGGGUUGAGAUCCAUAUUUCACUUCGUUCUAAGUCCGCGUAGGCGGAUUACACAAAACUAGGUUAUUUAGGUAGGAACUCCUUCCAGUUGUAUCUCAUACAACUCUCGAAAAUUUCAGUUGGGUGAAUAACUCCUUAUUCCAAUCCAUCAUAUGGAUCAUUCCCAACUCUUGCUUCUAAAACAUAUAUAAGAAAAUUAUAAUUAAGUUUGACCCAUUGUUUUAGCAGUUGGAUAUUACAAUUAUCCCAUCGCACCUUACUAAUAUAGAACAUGCACCUCGCGUAGGCGAAACCUACAUUAUUCGAUACUAGUCUUGAUGAGUGCUAAAACUUGGAAAGCAUAAACUUAAUAUUUAAUUUGAGGGAAUUUGCAAUUAUUCUGAUCUCACCGGCUUAUUUAUCAUAUAAAUCGUCUCUCACAUGCAUCAACAUACAUUCACAUGCAUCAACAUACAUAAUGAAAUAGUUAUGGCCCCUAGCGCAAUUGUUCUCCCAAGCCAAUGAGAGAACCUAAGCUAACCUAAUAACGAUCUAAGCUUCUCUAAGCAAGAUAUUCAAGGUUGUCCUCCUUUUAUAUUGAAUUCUUCUCUUUCUUCAUAACAUUACAUUACAUAAAAGAAACUCAUUUUACAUACGAGGGAGUGAGAUAAGAAAAGAAGUUACAUUGAGAGAUUAAAAGAGAGGCACGACAUGCAGGUCGUAAAUUAAAAUCCCAAAACGAAAUAAAGGAAAACUAAGGCCACAACCGAUCACCACAAGACAAUAAUAAUAAACACAUUAUUAUUAUUAAUUUAAAUUUUUUUAAUUAAUUAAGACUAAAUUAAAUUUCGGCGAAUGAUCAUACUAUGCAGAGUUAGCAAAAUAUUCUUUUAAUUAAAGUAUUGAUUUCAAAAAUGAUCAUAAUAAAAUUUAAAACUAUUUGGCUGAAUUAAAUAAGAGUAGAAACAAUUGGAUAAAAGCUCAAUUUUAUUUAAUAGAAUGGUAGUCUGUAAAUGACAAGACUCCAUAGAUCUUUUACAAAAGUUGAAAAUGAUAAUUUACAUGGAAAAGGGCUACAUUGAAUACAAUGAUCACUAAUCCUUCUACCAACUCUUGAUGUCCACUGUGCUCUUGGCCGCUACCGGGGACUAGAAUCCAACAUUGUGCUCAAGAAAGUCUUCAAAACCGAAGAUCAGCAAAAUGCAGUUACUUGUCAUAAUCCCUAAUAUUUACAUAAAUUGCCCCAAGGUGGGGUAUUCAAUUUAUCGGGAUAAUUCAUUCUGUUUUAUGUCUCUAACUUUUUCCUGGAUCACCCUUUUGAGUUUUCAAUCCACCAAGAUGCUCAUUUUUGCCUAAGCCGCCCUUUCGGUUUUUCAACAUAGCGAGUUGUUCUUUUCUUUUUUU
rnacentral:lncRNA from 1 species